rnacentral:rRNA from 1 species
UGCGCAGGCGGGGAUGUAAGUCAGUGGUGAAAAGCUGCCGCUUAACGGUAGUCUUGCCAAUGAUACUGCAUUUCUUGAGUAUGGUUAAGGUAGGCGGAAUGUGCAGUGUAGCGGUGAAAUGCAUAGAGAUUGCACAGAAGGCCGAUUGCGGAGGCAGCUUACUGAGCCAUAACUGACGCUGAGGCACGAAAGCGUGGGGAUCGAACAG